GAAGACGGCCAUAGUAAGCCUGAAACACCUGUACCCAUACCGAACACAGAAGUUAAGCGGUUUACGUCCGUAGUUGUAGUCUCCGUCAAGAGGCGAAGCCAGGAUGCUGUCUUCA
rnacentral:rRNA from 1 species